GCCUACGGGGCGCAGCAGUAGGGAAUCUUCCACAAUGGGCGAAAGCCUGAUGGAGCAACGCCGCGUGGGUGAAGAAGGUCUUCGGAUCGUAAAACCCUGUUGUUAGAGAAGAAAGUGCGUGAGAGUAACUGUUCACGUUUCGACGGUAUCUAACCAGAAAGCCACGGCUAACUACGUGCCAGCAGCCGCGGUAAUACGUAGGGUGCAAGCGUUAUCCGGAUUUACUGGGUGUAAAGGGCGAGUAGACGGCGUUGCAAGUCAGAUGUGAAAGGCUAGGGCUCAACCUUAGGAGAGCAUCUGAAACU
rnacentral:rRNA from 1 species